GCCACUGAUCAGGCCAUCCAAACACGGAAACCAUAAAGUAAUUGUAUAAUGUUGUUUUGAAGUUACCUGCGCGGCCGGCGCCUGCAUUGACCUGAAUGAAACCGGAAUACCGUAUUUCAAAGAAAACAGACAUACAUGUCCGUUUCAAACAACGCUAACUGGUUAUGAAAUCCCACAAGUUCUCUGCCGGUAUUGAUUGUUAUCUGCCUGGUAUUAUUUCACUUAAUCUCCCGCUAGCAGCUUCCACGCUUUUUUAUUUAUCAAAAUAUCUUGACGACACAAAACUCGAAAACAUUUAGGAUAAUUUCCAGGUGUUUGCGCGUCUUUAUCUUAUUAUCUAUAAUUGAUUUAUAAUUUACCUCAGAUAAGAAUGCCCGCGCGUUCUGUCGCUAAUUCUCGCGUAAAGAAACGCAAAACAGCGCCAAAGGAUCUAUAAACUGCGCUUGUUUCUCGAAUCUCAAAACGUAACCGUAUUAAAUUAUAAUUACUGCUAAAUAGCACAGCAAUGAAUCCUUGCGAGUCUCAACGUAUUCGAAUGACAAUUAUGACAUGUUAAUUCUGCAUGCGCGUCGGGAUAUAUUUCGGACGGCUGAACAUGUAGGCGAGAAUUUAGAAUGAUGAAAGUAUUCCUAAGUAUCCGACUGUUCAAUCAUCAUUUGAAUUUGCCAAAAACCCACCAGUUUAAUUUAGAAAAUAUAUUUUAAUUUGCAAUAGACAAAGAAGACAAAAUAUGCUAGUACGCCUACAUUAUUUAAUGACAGUUCAAUUCAGUGGCUACAAGAGAAACACAAAUAGUACGAUUAAACAGUUCAAUGCUUUGAUAUACAUAUUAACAUAUAUUAAUUAAUUAAUGGUUCCCAUGCAGUCUCAGCUAUAUCAGAACGCGUCAUUUGUAUGCGCAAUCGAAAAUCCUUUCAUUGUAACUGAUUUGUUUGGGAACGAAACCUAUUUCUGCGUCGUUUCCGAACAUCGAUUAAACUUGAGAUAUAAUUCUGAUAGAUAUAUUACAUUAUGUCAACGACAUUUAGCCACAGCAUGGUUCCUUCUUUCUUUCUUUCUUUCUUUCUUUCUUUCUUUCUUUCUUUCUAGCUUUUGAAUAUAAUAAAACCAUUAGUGAAUUCGGUUUUUGUAUGAUAUCGCAGGAACUAUCAAGGCCUCGGUUUUUGUUAUCCACCUCAGCCUUCGGUGGAUAAUACAAACCUCUGCCUUGCUAAUUCUCGUGAUCAUACUCAACCUCAUUCAAUAACUGUUUAUUAUUACCUUAGCAAAUAAGUUAAAAAAGAUUGAACAUAUAAUUGCAGCUGACUACAACCAGACAUAUCAAUAUCAAUAUCAAGUACCCUAUUCAGUGGCGAUGUAUAAAGUUAAAAAAAGUACGUAAACUAUGCAAGUACUAUCUGUAAAGUUAAAGUAACUAUUUAACUAUUUAAACACCGCGAAUCGUUAAAUAUUUUGCUUCUGGAAAGGUACGUAUAUCUCUAACAAUAUUAUACUUGCCUAUUUUGUGUUAAUUCA